UACGUAGGGUGCUAGCGUUGUCCGGAUUUAUUGGGCGUAAAGAGCGUGUAGGCGGUUUGGUAGGUCCGCUGUGAAAACUCGAGGCUCAACCUCGAGACGCCGGUGGAAACCAUCAGACUAGAGUCCGGAAGAGGAGAGUGGAAUUCCUGGUGUAGCGGUGAAAUGCGCAGAUAUCAGGAAGAACACCCGUGGCUAAGGCGGCUCUCUAGUACGGUACUGACGCUGAGACGCGAAAGCGUGGGGAGCGAACAGG
rnacentral:rRNA from 1 species